UGGGGAAUUGUUCACAAUGGGCGCAAGCCUGAUGACGCAACGCCGCGUGGGGGAUGAAGGUCUUCGGAUUGUAAACCCCUGUCGAAUGGGACGAAUAACCUUUGGGCUAAUCACCAGAGGAAUGACGGUACCGUUAAAGGAAGCCACGGCUAACUCUGUGCCAGCAGCCGCGGUAAUACAGAGGUGGCAAGCGUUGUUCGGAAUUACUGGGCGUAAAGGGCGAGUAGGUGGCCAUCUAAGUCAGACGUGAAAUCCCCCGGCUUAACCUGGGAACUGCGUCUGAUACUGGACGGCUAGAGUUUGGGAGAGGGAUGCAGAAUUCCAGGUGUAGCGGUGAAAUGCGUAGAUAUCUGGAGGAAUACCGGUGGCGAAGGCGGCAUCCUGGACCAACACUGACACUGAACCGCGAAAGCUAGGGGAGCAAAC
rnacentral:rRNA from 1 species